UCAUCACAUUAACACCAUUCAAAAUGAUAUCAAAAAUAUCUCCUUUUAUUGAAAUUUCAUAACCGUACAUGACCAAAAGGUCUACAGAAAUAAUAUUCAAUAAAAAUGAAGGACAAAAGUGGCAUUCAUUAAGAAUAAUUAUAUUAGACUUGAAUACAAGCUUAAUAAUCCCUAAUGCUAGAACUGAAAUUGAUCUUGCAUCUCCAACAUUAGGAAAUCUUUUUCCUUCUUCAAAUCUCCUAUUGACCUGC
rnacentral:lncRNA from 1 species